rnacentral:sRNA from 1 species
GUGGGAUAGAAGCAUGCCCUGUUAUUUACUUUUACUGCUUUGGUUUCAUUUAUGGAGAGUGGAGUCACUAACAUGUUUACAGUGUACUUCGUACCAGCCUUAUUGUAACAAUUUUGUUACAUGUGGAGAGCAUGAGGU